GCUGGAAUCACGAGAGAGCUGCAAUCAGAAUACCACUACAUUCAAAAACAAACGUUGCAAAGCGUUUAGAGUGAAGUAAAAACCUGCAGAAUUGGUCCCUAGAAUAGUGGAAGAAUGUUAUUUUCUCGGAUGAGUCAUCCUUUACCUUAUUUCC